rnacentral:lncRNA from 1 species
UCUCAUAAAACAAUAUUUUUAGAACACUGCAUAAAUAAUUUUUACAGUGUAAAGCAAAAUAAAUUCAUAUAUAUUGUAAUACAGUAAGCCAGACUAUUUAAUUUAAUUUACAGUAACAAGUGGGCCCAUGAACGACCAAAAGUAUUAAAAGCCGUAAACUUACAAUUUUUAAGGAUGCAAGUCCAACUGUAGUCCUCAACAAAGUGAGCUAUCUAUCGAUUAUCCUGAGCCUGAAAGAGGUUGAAAUGAGGGUGGUGAGAUUAUAUAAUCCCAGUGAGUAAACAAAUACCAUCUAAAAUAUUUAAAGCUGAGUAAAUGGAAACAAAUAAAAUAAUUUAAUAUACUGUAAUUCAUUACCUUUCAAAUUCAUUUCAACCAAAUAAAAUCAAUUCAUAUAAAUCAAGUAAUCAACAUGGCUUAUGAUUUCCUGAAAAGUUUGGCUCCUGCCAAAAUCAUUCUCAUACCCAGUUAUCAAGGAUGGCUUGAUCGAGGGCCAUCCCAACCGAGUCCGCCAAGGCUGUUAAAAAGUUAUGUACGCAUAAAUCAUGUUUUUAUUUUGAAAACAUAGCCGUUCCUUAGAGUUGGCUGAGUUCACCCUCGCAUGGAGGUUUGGCGUAAAGUGAACUCUAAAGUGUUAACCUCAGGAGUUAUCCAUCCGCGCCUCUCAUACUGAGGUAUGAAUAUGACUAGGUUUCGUGCCCCUCUAAUAGGCUGGUCGUCCAUAGAACCAUCCCACUACAGUAAGCUAAACCCACCAUACAAUAAAAAUUCAACAGCAUGACAUGGCAAUUUUAUCAUUAUCUAGCCUAUCAAGGCAAACAACAGUUUAUACAUUUCAACACAAAUACCAAUUCAGCCAUUCAUGCCAAUAUUGUCAUAAGCCAAUCAAUUAAAACCAUAAAUUUAUAACACUUUAAGUGGUCUCCAAUUACUUUAUUUUCAAAACCAUCAUUUUAUCUCAAGACAAUUUAUAAAAUCUCUUAUUUAAUCACAUUUUGCUUAUAAACAUAAAGAUUUGCCAUUUAAACUCAUUUUUCAUAAAAUCUCAAAAUCGGAUAAAAACCACUUUACAUAAUUAAGACGAUAGUAAGGUUACUCACUAUUUCGGGGAGUCAAAUUCCAAGUACUCCGAUUCUUGAUCCUCGGGUACUAUCUCCUUACUUUUGCCAGAAUGCUCACCACCUAAACAUGAUGCACAAUAAGCCAUUUACUACAUUUGUGCUAAAUUGUUAUAAAACCAAUUCAGGCUCUAUAUAAAUGCAUGAAAUGGGAUGUGAAAUACUCGGGUAACUAUCUAAAUACGGUGUUCAAUAUAAAUUCAGUUAUGUACCUAAAUAAAACUGUAUUGGCCUAAUUUGAUCUAUCACUCGAUUAAUUGGCCAAUAUGUCCAAUUUAACUCCAAAUAAUUCCAUUUUUCUCCCAAUACUCCAAAUCAUCAAACACAAGUCAAAUAGCAUAAAAUCUAGCAAAAUCAUCUUCACAUUUUCUCUUGGAAAAUUUGGCCAUGGUGGGUCCAUCAAUACUAUGAUUUUUCCUACUUGAUUCUCACACCAUAAAUCAUCAUUUCCUAACCAAUUCACUUGAAAUAAAAUCAAAAUCAUCAUCCACACUCUACAUGGAAAAUUGGGCCAAUGAUGGGUGAUGGGAGAAAAUGAAUUUUUCUUACUUGAUUUUCAUGCUACACAUCAAUAACUAACUAAAAACACUAAAAUAUCUUAAAAUCUAACCAAAUCAAUCAUCAAAUCUUCUCUCUCUAAAUUCGGUCAGCCAUGAAUCCUUCAUGAUAUCUUGUGAUUCAACCAUGGAAAAUGCAAAAUAAUGCAUGGGAAAGGUAGAUCACAAGUCAAAAUCAAGAAAUUUUACCUUUGAUUGCUUGAUUACUUGGAAUCCACCAAUUUUUCUCUUGAAUUUUCACCCUAGGGUUCUUGUUCUUUCUUUUUUUCCUUUGUUCUUCUUUGGCCGGCC